rnacentral:sRNA from 1 species
AGAGAAGAAAAAAGAUGGAGACAGAGAAGGAAAACCCAGAUCGGGGUGGUCUUAAUGGCUGUAGUUGCAGAAGACCCCACGGGUGCUGCAAGAGACCAGCUGGAACGGCUCGAGGACCGCCCGGGUCAGAGAGUACUUGGGCAGUGUGGAGCUGCUGAGAUGAAAGUAUCCCACAGUGCCAUGGGCCUAUGGGUGCCAGCGCUAGCCCAGGAUAAAAAGCUUCCUUGUGCCGGUUUGUCAAACCUGGUCUGUGGUUUCCACUGGAACUGGAGAUGAGUUUGCCUCCUUGAUGGACUCCAAACCCUUCAACACCUGGUGGCCUGACUUCACUUUCAACCUGUGCCAGCAGGCAGCAGGACUUGACUGCUGGGACAUCCCCACCCAUGAUGGGAGCACUGGCGGAAGCAAACUGCACAUAUGGGAGAAAGAGGGCUCUGGGCUGGGGUUAGGGGGUGGGCUGUAGGAUGUGCAUUCCCUGCACAGAUAUCGCCUGCAGGAGACCCCACUUAAGUUUGCCCUCGAGAUGGAAGAAGCCGGGCAGAAGUUCACCGAUGUGGGGGUCCAGACUAGUUUUAUUGACCAGCCUGGGAAUGCCACACUACAGGAGACACCUACUGGAACCCCUCCUCUUCUUGGGACUUGAUCAUGGAAAAAAAUUAUACUAUAGGGGGACCCUAUCUGGGGGACCAAGGGUAUUGGGAUACUCCCUGGGCAAACACCACCUGUAACCCAAUAAUAAUCAGAUUCACUCAGAAAGGCAAAGAAGCAACAGGAUGGCUAAAGGGAAAAACUUGGGGACUCAGGUUGUACAAAUUGGGGUAUGAUGAUGGCCAAGGUGAGAAAAGGGAUAGCCAAACAGAAAAAGAGAAAGAGAGCAGUCAGAGCUGGUUCGAGUCUUGGUUUAACUCGUCUCCUUGGCUAACCACCCUCAUAUCCACCUUGUUAAGACCCCCUCUUUGUUCUGCUAUUGUUGACCUUUGGACCCCGCAUAUUGAACAAGUUUAUAGCCUUCAUAAAAGAGAGAAUGGGGAGCAGUGCAGCUGAUGGUCCUGCACCAAUAAUAUGAGACCCUGAGGACAGGACCUGAAGAAUAUGAGUUAGUCAUCAGAGGCCCCUGAGUGUAGCUCCAAGAUUAGAGCUUGUACAAGAAAAAGGGACCCUUAGGGCUUUCACCAGCCUUACACCCACCUGCCUUGGGACAAGGCUAGGCCAAGUUCCAUUGUCCACCCACAGGAAUAUUCUUCAGUAAAAAAAGUUCUCAGAA